CCAGGAUUCCAGCUGGCGUGGUUUGCCUUCACAUGUUUAUGAACAUAGAUGAAUUUAGCACUGAGGCACUUGGACACAGAAACGUUUCACCAGCUUAAAGACAAUGCACCAGGGCUCCAGAUAAAAUAUGUUUCUGAUCCAUGUGUUGGGUUCCCCUGUUGUCAUUGGAACAUCUGUCAGAUCACAGAACACAUCUGCUCCCUGGUCAAUGACAAAUCUGCUCAUAGCUGCUAGAAGAUUGUUCUUGCUUAAAACAUUCUCUCACCUUUCAUGAAGUAUUCAAU
rnacentral:lncRNA from 1 species